UACGAAGGGGGCUAGCGUUGUUCGGAAUUACUGGGCGUAAAGCGUAUGCAGGCGGAUCGUUAAGUCGGGGGUGAAAUCCCGAGGCUCAACCUCGGAACUGCCUCUGAAACUGCAGUGCUAGAAUCUUGGAGAGGCGAGUGGAAUUCCGAGUGUAGAGGUGAAAUUCGUAGAUAUUCGGAAGAACACCAGUGGCGAAGGCGACUCGCUGGACAAGUAUUGACGCUGAGGUGCGAAAGCGUGGGGAGCAAACAGG
rnacentral:rRNA from 1 species